GCGAACGCACUCGUGUACUCUGAUUUAGGUGCCCGCUAAAACACACCAGGUGGUCAAAAUCUCCCUCCACUACGGCAAGUCUCGUGAUCAGGUCGUGGUUUCGACCCUAGCGCACGUAAAACCCCGAUUUUAUUUUUAAGCGUAGAACACUUUCAAAGAAAGUACGUAUUACAAUACGAUACGCAAAACACUUGGUGAAACCGCAACAUAUUGAUCGAUCACGCUUAAGACAAGUAGCAAUUUAAAAUUUCCCGGGCAGUUGACGCCACAUGGACGCCGGUACAGCCGGACACUAUUGCCUAUACAUAUAUUUCGAAUGCUACGACCGCUUGCACCAGUCUACGUGGACUUUUACAUUUACCAACGGCUAUUCGAACUGCGAACAGAACAGAAGGAUGCACACAUGCAGGAACAGGCGUCAUCCUACAACGCAACGAGAAAGCAAACAAAACAAAUGCAUCUGCGCGCCAAUUGCAAACUCCUGCGGCAACACUACUCUUUGACUGUGGCGUGUAUGUGAAGAUCGAACACUAAAAGCUGUUAACUGGGAUACAUUGGAGUGCAAGUUCAUGCACGCCCACAAGGCGAGAGGAAAACGCCGCAGGGCACACGUCAGGCUACAGACUUUCACGGAGGUUACGAAGAACAAAAGAAACUGCCUCAACGAGUCCGUUCUCCACUCUACUGUCCACGAGUCCAACACAUAUAGUGCAACGAAGAAUAAACGCUGAACGGCUCACGACCGUUCGUGAGAAAUGGCUGGCCGGUAGCGGACGCUCGAGUCACCCAGGAUACAAGAUACUCCGUCACAAUACUCGGUCUCGAGGAGGAGGCUGUGGUAGCCGGAACAAAUUAGGAAAGAAACUUCAGGUUGAAUGAUGAUUUAUUUCACUUCGAGACGCGCACAGCGUAGCAGACGAGCAUGCGAGCCGCGAAACGGCAAGCGGACCUAACGUCUACGUUGCGAAACAAAUUGUCACGUGUGAGAAAAAAAGAAAGAAAUUGCAAAUAAAAAAUUGUAACGCCACCUGUCGUACGCAAAUAAACUAAUCUCUUU